AUGCAAGUCGAACGAGGUAGCAAUACCUAGUGGCAGACGGGUGAGUAACGCGUAGAUAGUGCCCUCCUGCGGGGGAUACCGUUCCGAAAGGAACGUUAAUACCGCAUAAUACGGCUGAGGCAUCUCGAGGCCGUCAAACUUCCGGGGCGGGAGGAGCAGUCUGCGUUCUAUCAGAGUUGGUAAGGUAAUGGCUUACCAAGGCUACGACGGAUAACUGGUCUGAGAGGAUGAUGUCACACUGGAACUGAGACACGGUCCAGACUCCUACGGGAGGCAGCAGUGAGGAAUAUCGCAAUGGGGGAAACCCUGACGCAGCGACGCCGCGUGGAGGAAGAAGGUUUUCGGAUUAAACUCCUGUCAGUUGGGAAGAGAAUGGACGGUACCAACUGAGGAAGCUUCGGCUAACCGUGCCAGCAGCCGCGGUAAGACGUAGGGAGCGAGCGUUGUCCGGAAUUACUGGGCGUAGAGCUCGUAGGCGGGACCGUAAGUCCAAGAGGAAAUCUCAAGGCUCAACUUUGGGGCUCUUGGAUACUGCGGUUCUUGAGGAUAUCAGAGGAAAGUAGAAUUCCCGGUGUAGCGGAAAUGCGUAGAUAUCGGGAGGAAUACCGGUGGCGAAGGCGACUUUCUGGGAUACUCCUCGCUGAGGAGCGAAAGCGUGGGGAGCAAACGGGAUUAGAUACCCCGGUAGUCCACGCCAAACGAUGGAUACUAGGUGUAGGAGGUAUCGACCCCUUCUGUGCCGUCGUUAACACAU
rnacentral:rRNA from 1 species